rnacentral:rRNA from 1 species
ACGAACGCUGGCGGCGUGCCUAAUACAUGCAAGUCGAACGGUCUUUCUAUGGAAGCUUGCUUCCACUGAGAAGAUAGUGGCGAACGGGUGAGUAACACGUGGGUAACCUGCCCAUAAGAGGGGGAUAACAUCCGGAAACGGGUGCUAAUACCGCAUAGUUUUUCUUGAUCGCAUGAUUGAGAAAGGAAAGACGGCCUUUGUGCUGUCGCUUAUGGAUGGACCCGCGGCGUAUUAGUUAGUUGGUGAGGUAACGGCUCACCAAGACGAUGACACGUAGCCGACCUGAGAGGGUGAUCGGCCACAUUGGGACUGAGACACGGCCCAAACUCCUACGGGAGGCAGCAGUAGGGAAUCUUCCGCAAUGGACGAAAGUCUGACGGAGCAACGCCGCGUGAGUGAAGAAGGUUUUCGGAAUCGUAAAACUCUGUUGUCAGAGAAGAACAAGUUGGAGAGUAACUGCUCCAGCCUUGACGGUAUCUGACCAGAAAGCCACGGCUAACUACGUGCCAGCAGCUGC